UGACAACAGGCAGAGGUAAAACUCUGCCUUGUCCGGUGUCUGUGUUCACAGAGAGACAGCGCAGUGGCCUCCAACUGCUGAGCAGGAGCCUUAAGGAAGCGACAGGCAAAAAGAAGCGAAAUAAUGCCUCCAAAA